UUCCUACGGGUGGCAGCAGUAAGGAAUAUUGGUCAAUGGACGAAAGUCUGAACCAGCCAUGCCGCGUGAAGGAUGAAGGUCCUCUGGAUUGUAAACUUCUUUUAUAUGGGACGAAAAUGGGUCUUUCUAGAUCAACUGACGGUACCAUUUGAAUAAGCACCGGCUAACUCCGUGCCAGCAGCCGCGGUAAUACGGAGGGUGCAAGCGUUAUCCGGAUUCACUGGGUUUAAAGGGUGCGUAGGCGGGUAGGUAAGUCAGUGGUGAAAUCUCCGAGCUUAACUCGGAAACUGCCAUUGAUACUAUCUAUCUUGAAUGUUCUGGAGGUGAGCGGAAUAUGUCAUGUAGCGGUGAAAUGCUUAGAUAUGACAUAGAACACCAAUUGCGUAGGCAGCUCACUACGGAAAUAUUGACGCUGAGGCACGAAAGCGUGAGGAUCAAACAGGAUUAGAA
rnacentral:rRNA from 1 species